UACGAAGGGGGCUAGCGUUGCUCGGAAUCACUGGGCGUAAAGCGCACGUAGGCGGCUUUUUAAGUCAGGGGUGAAAUCCUGGAGCUCAACUCCAGAACUGCCUUUGAUACUGAGGAUCUUGAGUUCGGGAGAGGUGAGUGGAACUGCAAGUGUAGAGGUGAAAUUCGUAGAUAUUCGCAAGAACACCAGUGGCGAAGGCGGCUCACUGGCCCGAUACUGACGCUGAGGCACGAAAGCGUGGGGAGCAAACAGG
rnacentral:rRNA from 1 species